CUGGUACCUCCCCCUCGACCUGUUCCAGAAGCUGCUGUACCAGCCACUCUGGAGGGCAGCGUCUUUGUGCCUUCGAGCAAGUUUGCUCAACCGGAGGGGGAUGACAAGACUCUGUGUGUUGAUGAGUGGCCGUUUCUUCAAACAGUUUUGUGAGAAGGUGAACCAGCCAACUGCUCGGGUUGUCUCUGGACAGAGAAAACAAGAGGAGCCAACACCUUGGGGUCCAAAAGUUGUGAUGGCCCAGGCUGAUAAACCAACAGCCAAUGAGACCAGCUUCUUGGGAUGUUCAACCAAGAUGACACACAUUGAGGACCAUGAGCCGUUUGAACCAGCACCUGAGGUCACAGCGAGCAGUCAGCAGCAGAGCCCGCCUGAGGACAAUGGCCAGCUUGAAGAUCCUCAUGUAACACUUGGCAAUCAGAAGGCACCCUGUGAUUUUGCACCUGCCAGAGCUGCUACAUCAAGUCAUGUGACUUAUGACAACCCUGGGUGUCUUCAAGGAUCGUUUGACCAGAGCAGCCACAUAUUCGGGGAAAAUGCAGAAACGAUGAAGUGGCAGCCCAUAACAUCGCCAUGUUACACAAGACGUGUACGGAUUUGGUGCAAAUUAAAGCUCAAGAUACUCAGAGAAAUCCUACCACAGGACAAGUAACAAGAAAAAAUAAUCCAAAAAUUGAUAGUCAGACAUGCUUAAGCAGAACGUUAAUCGUUGGUCCAUCAGCUCGCGUAAUGCUCAUCAAAAAUA
ensembl:lncRNA